GCUAGUAAUCGCGGAUCAGCAUGCCGCGGUGAAUACGUUCCCGGGCCUUGUACACACCGCCCGUCAAGCCAUGGAAGCCGGGGGUGCCUGAAGUGCGCUGCCGCAAGGAGCGCCCUAGGGUAAAACCGGUGACUGGGGCUAAGUCGUAACAAGGUACC
rnacentral:rRNA from 1 species